AGAGUUUGAUCAUGGCUCAGGACGAACGCUGGCGGCGUGCUUAAUACAUGCAAGUCGAACGAGGUUCAGCCGACCUUUCGGGGGAAGCGAAGACCUAGUGGCGAACGGGUGCGUAACACGUGAGAAACCUGCCCUGCACUUGGGAAUAACAGUCGGAAACGACUGCUAAUACCGAAUACCUUCGUAGUGUCGCAUGGCGCAUCGAAGAAAGCUUUAGCGGUGUGGGAGGGUCUCGCGGCCUAUCAGCUAGUUGGUGAGGUAACGGCUCACCAAGGCAUCGACGGGUAGCUGGUCUGAGAGGAUGAUCAGCCACACUGGGACUGAGACACGGCCCAGACUCCUACGGGAGGCAGCAGUAGGGAAUAUUGCACAAUGGGCGAAAGCCUGAUGCAGCAACGCCGCGUGCGGGAAGAAGGCCUUAGGGUUGUAAACCGCUUUCAGCAGGGAAGAAAAUGACGGUACCUGCAGAAGAAGGUGCGGCCAACUACGUGCCAGCAGCCGCGGUGACACGUAGGCACCAAGCGUUGUCCGGAUUUAUUGGGCGUAAAGAGCUCGUAGGCGGUUCAGUAAGUCGGGUGUGAAAACUCUGGGCUCAACCCAGAGACGCCACCCGAUACUGCUGUGACUUGAGUACGGUAGGGGAGUGGGGAAUUCCUGGUGUAGCGGUGAAAUGCGCAGAUAUCAGGAGGAACACCAGUGGCGAAGGCGCCACUCUGGGCCGUAACUGACGCUGAGGAGCGAAAGCGUGGGUAGCAAACAGGAUUAGAUACCCUAGUAGUCC
rnacentral:rRNA from 1 species